rnacentral:ncRNA from 1 species
AAUAAAGUUUUAUUCUAGCUUAAUAAAUUAAUUUUUUUAAUUAUUUAUAUGUAAAUUUAAGUGUUUAUAUUAAAUUUUUUAAAUAGAAAUUUAUUAAUAAAUGUUAUUCGCAGUAUUUAAUUUUGUGUAUUAAAGAGAUUUAGACUAAGAUAUUUAAAAUAGUAUUAACUAAAUUUGUGCCAGCAGUUGCGGUUAAACAGGUAAUGCAAUUAAUUUUUUUUUUCGGUAUGUAAUUAAUAAAAAUUAAAAAAAUUUAAAAUUUAAUUUAUUAAGUGAAAUUUUUAAAUUAAAUAAAAAUUUAUUGUUAGAUUGUGAGGUUACGAGAUUUUAUAAAUAAACUAGGAUUAGAUACCCUAUUAUUAAAAAUGUGAAUAAAUAUAUAUAUAUAUGUAUAUAUAUAUGUGCCGGAGUAUUAGUAGUUAUGUUCUUGAAAUUUAAAGGAUUUGGCGGUAUUUUAGUCUAUUCAGAGGAACCUGUUCUAUAAUUGAUGAUCCACGAUUAAUUGUACUUAAUUUAAAGGUUUGUAUAUCGUCGUAGUUUGAAUGUUUUAUAAGAAUUAUAAAUGUUCAAGAUUUAAUUUAAUAAAAGAAAUCAGAUCAAGAUGUAGCGUAUAGUUAAGAAGAGAUGGGUUACAAUAAAUUUAUUUAUGCAGUUAUAAUAAUUAAAAUUAUUUUAUAAGUUGGAUUUGAUAGUAAUAUAAUUGAAUUAAAUUAUAUGAUUUUGGCUCUAAAAUAUGUACAUAUCGCCCGUCGCUCCCUCUUCAAAGGGGGAUAAGUCGUAACAAAGUAGACGUACUGGAAAGUGUGUCUAGAUUGAG